rnacentral:lncRNA from 1 species
CAAGGCACAAAUCUAGGCCCAUCAUUAUACAAUAUCUACACCAAUGACAUAGUAAAUGCAAUAACAGAAGGAGAAAUAGUGAUGUACGCAGACGAUACAGCAAUAACAAUAACAGCAAAAACACAAACCGAACUAAAAGAAAAAGCACAGACAGCAAUAAAACAAUACAUGGAAUGGUGCGACACAAAUAAAAUGAUACCCAACCUAAGCAAAACCAACUACAUCAUAUACGCGAUAAGAAAGGAAAACAUAGAAGACAUAAACAUAGUAUACAAUCAACCAAUAAAUCGCGAACACACAGUAACAUACCUGUGUAUUGAAAUAGACAAUAAACUAAACUGGAUAGAACAAACAGAGAAAACAUCGAAAAAACUAAACCAACUUUGCUAUAUAAUAAACUACCUUAAGAAAACGUUCAAUCAAAAUUCACUCCUGGCAUACUAUUACGCAUUUGGAGAAAGCCACCUGAGAUAUGGAAUAAUUAUUUGGGGAAACACGACAGAACACAGAAGACUUUUCAUCAUACAAAAACGGAUCAUACGCAAAAUAUUCAACAUCCAACCAAGACAAACAUGCAAAGAUACGUUCCAAAAAAAACAAAUACUGACAUAUUAUGCAUUAUACUAUAUAGAAGCUGUUGCCAACAUACACAAUCACAAAAACACACUUACACCCAACAGUGAAAUACACACAUAUAGCACAAGACAGGCACACCACAUCAGGCAGCCAAGAACAAAAACAACAUACGCACAAAAAUCAGCCCAAUACAUGGGAAUCAAAUUCUACAACAAACUGCCUGACCAGUUAAAACCACUAGAAACAAAACUACUGAAACAAAAACUAAAAGACAAACUGACAUCGAAGGCACCGUACACUUUUGACGACCUCGACAAAAUAUGGGACGAAAAGUAGAGCCUACGAUACCCAGCACCUAUAUACAUAUAUUAACUCCCUCGCUCACAUCUUGACCGCUUGCAUUUAAAUAGCAUUAUACUUAAUUAUUUUCAGCCCCUGUUAUAUUUACUUUAUUUGUUCACUUCUUAUGUACCUAUACCUGUACCUAUUUGGACCAUGUACAUUAUUGUAUCUACAAAGUUCAAUAAAUAUAUUCAAUUCAAUGAUUGUCAGUCAUUGAUCGAUUAGAA